GACGAACGCUGGCGGCGUGCCUAAUACAUGCAAGUUGAGCGCUGAAGGUUGGUCCUUGUACCAACUGGAUGAGCAGCGAACGGGUGAGUAACGCGUGGGGAAUCUGCCUUUGAGCGGGGGACAACAUUUGGAAACGAAUGCUAAUACCGCAUAAAAACUUUAAACACAAGUUUUAAGUUUGAAAGAUGCAAUUGCAUCACUCAAAGAUGAUCCCGCGUUGUAUUAGCUAGUUGGUGAGGUAAAGGCUCACCAAGGCGAUGAUACAUAGCCGACCUGAGAGGGUGAUCGGCCACAUUGGGACUGAGACACGGCCCAAACUCCUACGGGAGGCAGCAGUAGGGAAGCUUCGGCAAUGGACGAAAGUCUGACCGAGCAACGCCGCGUGAGUGAAGAAGGUUUUCGGAUCGUAAAACUCUGUUGGUAGAGAAGAACGUUGGUGAGAGUGGAAAGCUCAUCAAGUGACGGUAACUACCCAGAAAGGGACGGCUAACUACGUG
rnacentral:rRNA from 1 species